rnacentral:rRNA from 1 species
CCCGUAACCACAAUUAAACACCAAUUGUUCGCCAAACAACUACGAGCUAUACUUAAAACUUAAAAGACUUGACGGUACUUCAUCACGGCCUAGAGGAGCCUGUCUAAUAACCGACAAUCCACGAUUAACCCAACCCCUUCUUGCCCAACAGUCUAUAUACCGCCGUCGCCAGCUUACCUUGUAAAAGAAAUAAAGUGAGCUAAAUAAUACAACACUAAAACGACAGGUCGAGGUGUAACUUAUGGAGGGGUCAAGAUGGGCUACAUUCUCUACGAGAAUACGAAUAACACUAUGAAAUUAGUGCUUGAAGGCGGAUUUAGCAGUAAGCUAAGAAUAAAAUACUUAACUGAACAUAACGCAAUGAAGUGCGUACACACCGCCCGUCAUCCCUGCC